rnacentral:rRNA from 1 species
GACGAACGCUGGCGGCGUGCUUAACACAUGCAAGUCGAGCGAUGAAGCACCUUCGGGUGUGGAUUAGCGGCGAACGGGUGAGGAACACGUGAGGAAUCUGCCUUUCACUUCGGGAUAACUCCGGGAAACCGGGGCUAAUACCGGAUAUUUUCAACUGGCGGCAUCGCCGGUUGAAGAAAGUUUUUCGGUGAAAGAUGACCUCGCGGCCUAUCAGCUUGUUGGUGAGGUAAUGGCUCACCAAGGCGGCGACGGGUAGCCGGCAUGAGAGGGCGACCGGCCACACUGGGACUGAGACACGGCCCAGACUCCUACGGGAGGCAGCAGUGGGGAAUAUUGGGCAAUGGAGGAAACUCUGACCCAGCGACGCCGCGUGAGGGAUGAAGGCCUUCGGGUUGUAAACCUCUUUCAGCGGGGAAUAAGCGAAAGUGAAGGUACCUGCAGAAGAAGCACCGGCCAACUAUGUGCCAGCAGCCGCGGUAA